GGGGCUGCACUGGUUUCGACGUGGGUUCGGACGCGUGGCAGGGCAUGUCGAGCUGAAUGCGCUCGUAAAACAGAUUCAAACAAACUAACUGCAAACGACGAACGUUUCGCACUCGCCGCUUAAUUGCCGGUGAGCUUUGCAACAGCAGGCCUAUGGGCUGGGCAAGGGGUUCUUGACGCAAGUUGAGGGCUCCCGGCUGCAAAGAUAAUUUCAUAGGCUGGUCUCUUGCCGGGUAACUUGGCAGGGGACGAGAAAAUAGGUUACUGGCGUCUUGUAUAGCGUGCCGCUGCGCGAUCCAGGAGGCGAGACUCAAUCAGACGGCUACACAUGUAGAACUGUGCGAAGAAGGCUUGCGGACGCGGGUUCAAUUCCCGCCAGCUCCACCA
rnacentral:tmRNA from 1 species